GAAAAACCGAAAAUUCGGUAUUAUCCCACCGCCUCCCACGCACUCUGUUUCUUUCCAGAAACAGAGAGAGCGGUGGGGCGUGAGGAGAAGAAGGAGAGUGGUUGAAGAAAAGAAGAAGAAGAGGGAAAAGAAGAGAGGAGGAAGAAGAGAGGAAGAAGAGGGAGAAGAGAAGAAGAUGAAGAAGAAGAAGAAGAGGAGGUGGCUGCAGCGAGGGCUGCAGCGAGAAGCUGUGGGGCGUGGGGAGAAGAAGAGAGGAAGAAGAGGGAGAAGAGAAGAAGAAGAAGAAGAAGCAGAAGAAGAAGAAGAAGAAGAGAGGAUGAUAGCUGCGGCAAGGCUGCAGCGAGGAGGUGUGUGGGGUUGGGGAGGAAAAGGGAAGAGGAGAAGAAAAGAAGGAGAAGAAGAGGGAAAAGAGAGGGAAGAGGGAGAGGAGCGAGAGGUGGCAGCAGCUAGGGCUGCAGCACCUCUGUUUCCUGCAGGUGGAAACAGAGGAGAGGUGGGGCGUUCGAAGAGGAGAAGAAGAAGAAGAAGGAAGAGAAGAGGAAGAGGAAGCAGGAGAAGAGGUUGUGAUACCUCUGUUUCCUGCAGAGGAAACAGAGGAGAGGGUGUGUGUGACGUCGGGGAGAAGAAGGGGAGGAAGAAGAAGAAGAGAAGAAGAAGAAAGGAAGGAGAGGAAGAAGAGAAGGGAAAGGAGGAGCUGCGGCUGCGGCGGUGGCAGCUGCAGGUGGAAGAGAAGGAGAGGAAGAGAUGGUGAGGAAGAAGAGAAGAAGUAGAAGCGGGUGAAGAGGCGGCACCUCUGUUUCCUGCAGGAGGAAACAGAGGAAAGGAGGUGCUGUUCGUCGGGGAGAAGAAGGGGGCUGCAGCUGCAGCGAUGGCAGCUGCAGCUGGAAGAGAAGAAGAAGAGGAAGAUGAGCAGGGGAGGAGGGAGAGGUUGCGGCCGUGGCUGCGGCCGCGACUGCAGCAGUUGCAGCGGGGAGAGAAGAAGAAGAAAGGAAGGAGAAGGAAGAGGAGAAGGGAAAGAAGUAGCUGCGGCUGCGGUUGUGGCAGCUGCAGCUGUGGCAGGGAAAGAGGAAGAGAAAAAGGAAAGGAAGAAGAAGAGAAAUGGAAGGACAGGAAGAAGAGAGGAAGAGGAGAAGGGGCUGCGGCUGCGGCGAUGGCAGCUGCAGCUGUGGCUGGGAAAGAAGAGAAGGAAAGGAAGAAGAAGAGAAAGGGAAGGAGAGGAAGAAGAGAGGAAGAGGAGAAGGGGUGGCAGCUGCGGCAGUGGCAGCUGCAGCUGGAAGAGGAGGAGGAAAUAGAGCAGGGGAGGAAGAAGAGGCUGCGAGUGUGGUGGCUGCGGCCGUGGCUGCGACUCCGGCUGCGGCUGCGACGUUGGCUGCGGUAGCUGCGGCAGCGGUGGUGGCUGCAGUAGCUGCUUUUGGGAAAGAGAAAGAGUAGGAACGAGAGAAGGGAAGAAGGAAAUAGUGCAGUGGAAGGGGGCUGCGGUUGUCACCGCAGUUGCGAUUGUGGCAGCGGCAGCGGCGGCGGCUGUGGCAGCUGCGUUUGGGAAAGAAAAAGAAGGAAUGAGAGUAAGAGAGAGCAGGUGACUGUGCCUCGAUGUUCGACACGUGAUGUAGUUACGAAGAAAGGAAGAAAACGGGAGCACAAAACGAAACAGAGAGAGGACACGGAGGAAAAGUAUAAAGAUUGGACUGGCACCUUCCUUGGAUAUUCAGAUCAAAAUAUUUGAAAGGUCAGCUUGUCACUCUUCGAGAUGUUUGAUUUGGGCUGAGGCAGUGGAUAGCUAUUCAGAAUUAUGGGCAAGUCCUGUUGGUUGUUAUGCUAUUGUUGUAUAAGCAUAUUUUGUAUGUAAUGAAUUGUUCUGAUGAUCGAAAUGGAUAUACUGUGUAAAAGUGUUAGAAGAUCUCUCUUAUUUGGAAUUUCGGAAUGUUAAGUCUAAUUUAUGACGAUAUAAACUUGUGGUGAAUAGUUGGAGUUCUGAUUGUAUAAUUUAUUUAGCUUGUGGAUUUAUAAAUGUUGUUCAUGUUUGUCAAGUUGGCUUGGGUUGCCAUAAAUGUGAAUUAUCGAGUGAUGUGAUAUAUGAUUAUAAACUGCACAGGUUUUAUGGAUGUGAAUAUGAAUAGAAUGUUUUCAGUGUCCUCAAACGUUAGUUUGGAUCCUGGAUUGGUCUGUGACGAAAAUUUUAAAAAUCAUGGAUAUUUUGAGGGGCGUGACAGAGGUGGUAUCAGAGCAUUGUUUGAGGAUUACUGAAAUAUUUGAUAUGUUGACGUGCAAAAUAUAUUGAGGUCUAAUGAACUAUAGUGAUUGGUGGAAAUUUUCUUUGCUGCAUUUUAGGAAUCUGGGAUGAUGAGGACAUUUGGUCCUCUUAUAUCAUUUGUUUCUGAUUAAUUAAGGGGAAUGAAAGGAUUGAUUGGGGAUAUUGAAUCAGAGUGGCGCAGCAGAAGCAUGAUGAACCUAAUUUCAUUGGUGGUAGAAAAAUGGAUGAUGUAAAUGGAGAAGAUAAUUGAUAUACAAAAUUGUUCUGAUACUCGAAAGAUUUCUUUUGCCACGUUAUAUUGGAAGUAAAGACUUAUUAUUGACGGCAACAAUGAAAAGAAUUUUUGAAGAUCAAUGGCAAGAAUGACAAGAACAAGUUUACCAAUAAAAAUAUGAUUGGAAAUGAAUCAGUAAGUAACAACAAGAGAGUCAAGACAUUUGGAUUUGAAAUGGGAAGUCACCACAAAAGACUCAAUCAGGUGUGAAUUGCAAGUUAAAUUAUGAAACAAGUUUAUGUUUGUGCGUGACUAGAGCCUAUUUUGCUUAUGGAAAGUUUGAUCAUAAAAUAAAAGUUUGCCCUUUGAACAAGAAGAAAGAGUCACUGCCUCCUAAAUCAUCAGCCCAUGUCAGAGUGUAUGCUAUCACUGAAUAUGAUUCUAAGACUUCUGAAUUAGUGGUCGAAGGUAUUAUGUAUGUUUAUGAAAGAAUGCAAAUAUUUGUUUGAACAUGGGUUCUAUCUACGAUUUGAUUCGUAACAUAUUGCCUAUCACUUGGGUAUUCAACCUAGACCACUGUAUUAUGUGAUAUAUGUAAGUACAAUCAUUGGAGAUUCUUUGAUAACGAACUUGAAUCUGGUCCUCUUGUCUGAUUUUUGUUGGAGAACUUGAACUUUUGCUGAUUUAGUUCUCCUAGAGAUUUGGAGUUAUGAUAUUAUACUUGGUAUGCAUUGGCUAUCUUCUUAUCAUACCAGUAUGGAUUGGUAUAUAACAAAUGAUCACUUUUUGCAUAUUUGAUCAGCCGAUCUUUUAUUUUGAGAGUAUUGGACAUUAUUUAUCUCCUUGCCUAAUGUAUCCCAGGAUGACUUGCUUGGAUUACCUCCAAAUGUGAUUUUGCUUUUGAUUUGGUCCUUGGGACAAUCCCUAUAUCUAAGCCUCUCUGCAGAAUGAUAUCAUUUGAGUAAGUGGAAUUAGAAAAACAACUACAAGGAUUAUUAAAUGAGGAUUUUAUUUGGCUUAAUAUUUUAUCAUGGGGUGCUCUGGUGUUAGUUAAAAAGAUGGAUGGAACAUGGAGGCUUUGUAUUGAUUAUGGAUAGUUGAAUCAGGUGAUCAUCAAAAACGAGUAUUUUCUGAAGUAACGAUUUGCUUGAUUAAUUACAGGUGCGCAAGUAUUUUUGAAAGAUUGAUUGAAGGUCGGGUUUACCAUCUAUUGAGAAUCAAGAAGGAGAAUAUUUCGGUCACUCUUGGAAAAUUGUGUAAUUGUAUUGAAUUGAUGAAAUUAUUUAAGAGUAGGAGGAGGAAAUAAAGAAAUCAUAAUCCUCAUCUUUUCAUCGAUUGAGCUAUGACCAAUUUAGAGGACUAAAUUUUCUUUUAAGGGGGGGAGAGUGUAAUAUCCCCACUUUUAAAAAUGUAUUAAUAAGGAUUUAUAUGUAAAUUGGGGGACCUAUAUGUAAAUAUAGAAAUUACAAGGACUAAACUGCUAAGUUGCAAAAAGAAAAAAAAAAAGAAAAGGAAAAACCGAAAAUUCGGUAUUAUCCCACCGCCUCCCACGCACUCUGUUUCUUUCCAGAAACAGAGAGAGCGGUGGGGCGUGAGGAGAAGAAGGAGAGUGGUUGAAGAAAAGAAGAAGAAGAGGGAAAAGAAGAGAGGAGGAAGAAGAGAGGAAGAAGAGAGGAAGAAGAAGAAGAGGAGGUGGCUGCAGCGAGGGCUGCAGCGAGAAGCUGUGGGGCGUGGGGAGAAGAAGAGAGGACGAAGAGGGAGAAGAGAAGAAGAAGAAGAAGAAGCAGAAGAAGAAGAAGAAGAAGAAGAAGAAGAGAGGAUGAUAGCUGCGGCAAGGCUGCAGCGAGGAGGUGUGUGGGGUUGGGGAGGAAAAGGGAAGAGGAGAAGAAAAGAAGGAGAAGAAGAGGGAAAAGAGAGGGAAGAGGGAGAGGAGCGAGAGGUGGCAGCAGCUAGGGCUGCAGCACCUCUGUUUCCUGCAGGUGGAAACAGAGGAGAGGUGGGGCGUUCGAAGAGGAGAAGAAGAAGAAGAAGGAAGAGAAGAGGAAGAGGAAGCAGGAGAAGAGGUUGUGAUACCUCUGUUUCCUGCAGAGGAAACAGAGGAGAGGGUGUGUGUGACGUCGGGGAGAAGAAGGGGCGGAAGAAGAAGAAGAGAAGAAGAAGAGAGGAAGGAGAGGAAGAACAGAAGGGAAAGGAGGAGCUACGGCUGCGGCGGUGGCAGCUGCAGCUGGAAGAGAAGGAGAGGAAGAGAUGGUGAGGAAGAAGAGAAGAAGUAGAAGCGGGUGAAGAGGCGGCACCUCUGUUUCCUGCAGGAGGAAACAGAGGAAAGGAGGUGCUGUUCGUCGGGGAGAAGAAGGGGGCUGCAGCUGCGGCGAUGGCAGCUGCAGCUGGAAGAGAAGAAGAAGAGGAAGAUGAGCAGGGGAGGAGGGAGAGGUUGCGGCCGUGGCUGCGGCCGCGACUGCAGCAGUUGCAGCGGGGAGAGAAGAAGAAGAAAGGAAGGAGAAGGAAGAGGAGAAGGGAAAGAAGUAGCUGCGGCUGCGGUUGUGGCAGCUGCAGCUGUGGCAGGGAAAGAGGAAGAGAAAAAGGAAAGGAAGAAGAAGAGAAAUGGAAGGAGAGGAAGAAGAGAGGAAGAGGAGAAGGGGCUGCGGCUGCGGCGAUGGCAGCUGCAGCUGUGGCUGGGAAAGAAGAGAAGGAAAGGAAGAAGAAGAGAAAGGGAAGGAGAGGAAGAAGAGAGGAAGAGGAGAAGGGGUGGCAGCUGCGGUAGUGGCAGCUGCAGUUGGAAGAGGAGGAGGAAAUAGAGCAGGGGAGGAAGAAGAGGCUGCGAGUGUGGUGGCUGCGGCCGUGGCUGCGACUCCGGCUGCGGCUGCGACGUUGGCUGCGGUAGCUGCGGCAGCGGUGGUGGCUGCAGUAGCUGCAGUAGCUGCUUUUGGGAAAGAGAAAGAGUAGGAACGAGAGAAGGGAAGAAGGAAAUAGUGCAGUGGAAGGGGGCUGCGGUUGUGACCGCAGUUGCGAUUGUGGCAGCGGCAGCGGCGGCGGCUGUGGCAGCUGCAUUUGGGAAAGAAAAAGAAAGAAUGAGAGUAAGAGAGAGAGCAGGUGACUGUGCCUCGAUGUUCGACACGUGAUGUAGUUACGAAGAAAGGAAGAAAACGGGAGCACAAAACGAAACAGAGAGAGGACACGGAGGAAAAGUAGAAAGAUUGGACUAGCACCUUCCUUGGAUAUUCAGAUCAAAAUAUUUGAAAGGUCAGCUUGUCACUCUUCGAGAUGUUUGAUUUGGGCUGAGGCAGUGGAUAGCUAUUCAGAAUUAUGGGCAAGUCCUGUUGGUUGUUAUGCUAUUGUUGUAUAAGCAUAUUUUGUAUGUAAUGAAUUAUUCUGAUGAUCGAAAUGGAUAUACUGUGUAAAAGUGUUAGAAGAUCUCUCUUAUUUGGAAUUUCGGAAUGUUAAGUCUAAUUUAUGACGAUAUAAACUUGUGGUGAAUAGUUGGAGUUCUGAUUGUAUAAUUUAUUUAGCUUGUGGAUUUAUAAAUGUUGUUCAUGUUUGUCAA